AUGUACAUCAAGUUGGUAUUUGUUUUCCCACCCAAACUACAUAUUUUUAAAUCUAUAUGUACAUCAAGUUGGUAUUUGUUUUCCCACCCAAACUACAUAUUUUUAAAUCUUAAUGGUGACUAUUUAAAAGAACUGUUAUUUUCUACAGUUGCUGCUGAUCAGUCAUAUAAGGUGGAGGCGAUGGAAGCGGUAGCACGUUAUCUAAAAAUCCUCAAUCUUAGGAAGGUCUAA